UACGAAGGGGGCUAGCGUUGUUCGGAUUUACUGGGCGUAAAGGGAGCGUAGGCGGACAGUUUAGUCAGAGGUGAAAGCCCAGGGCUCAACCCUGGAAUUGCCUUUGAUACUGAUUGUCUUGAGUAUGGGAGAGGUGAGUGGAACUCCGAGUGUAGAGGUGAAAUUCGUAGAUAUUCGGAAGAACACCAGUGGCGAAGGCGACUCACUGGCCCAUUACUGACGCUGAGGCUCGAAAGCGUGGGGAGCAAACAGG
rnacentral:rRNA from 1 species